rnacentral:rRNA from 1 species
CGUAGGGUGCAAGCGUUAAUCGGAAUUACUGGGCGUAAAGCGUGCGCAGGCGGCUUUGCAAGACAGAUGUGAAAUCCCCGGGCUUAACCUGGGAACUGCAUUUGUGACUGCAUGGCUGGAGUGCGGCAGAGGGGGAUGGAAUUCCGCGUGUAGCAGUGAAAUGCGUAGAUAUGCGGAGGAACACCGAUGGCGAAGGCAAUCCCCUGGGCCUGCACUGACGCUCAUGCACGAAAGCGUGGGGAGCAAACAGGAUUAGAUACCCCGGUAGUCCACGCCCUAAACGAUGUCAACUGGUUGUUGGACGGCUUGCUGUUCAGUAACGAAGCUAACGCGUGAAGUUGACCGCCUGGGGAGUACGGCCGCAAGGUUG